UUGACAUCCACGGAACUUUCCAGAGAUGGAUUGGUGCCUUCGGGAACCGUGAGACAGGUGGUGCAUGGCUGUCGUCAGCUCGUGUCGUGAGAUGGUGGGUUAAGUCCCGCAACGAGCGCAACCCUUGUCCUUAGUUGCCAGCACGUAAUGGUGGGAACUCUAAGGAGACCGCCGGUGACAUACCGGAGGAAGGUGGGGAUGAUGUCAAGUCAUCAUGGCCCUUACGACCAGGGCUACACACGUAGUACAAUGGUAGGGACAGAGGGCUGCAAACCCGCGAGGGUAAGCCAAUCCCAGAAACCCUAUCUCAGUCCGGAUUGGAGUCUGCAACUCGACUCCAUGAAGUCGGAAUCGCUAGUAAUCGCAGAUCAGCAUUGUCUCCGGUGAAUACGUUCCCGGGCCUUGUACACACCGCCCGUCACACCAUGGGAGUUUGUUGCACCAGAAGGCA
rnacentral:rRNA from 1 species